rnacentral:sRNA from 1 species
UAAAUAUCGAUGAUUUAUUCCAAAUUUUUGAUAAUU